CAGGACUGAACUUUAGAGAGGAGGCUGGGAAAAGGAUCAAAAGGAGACAGACGCAGAACAACCAAGGAAUAAAAGGCUAAUAAGCAAAGAGGUGCGAAGAGCAGAGUUUCACCAAGGCUAGAGAGACCAACCAGCCAAGUGCAGUAGAAAGACCCAGUGAGGUAAGAACUAAGUCAUUCAUUAAACUUGGCAAUUAGCAAGUCAUUGGUAAUCAUAUUGACUCUAGUAUCCAUGAAUUAGUGAAUCAUGGGCAGGCUUCAUUGGAUUAAGAAGGUAGUGGAGGUCUUUAAAGUCAAAGGAAGGGAAGACUACCCUCACCCAGAUUAACAUUAUGGCUAUGACAUCCAGAUGUCCAAGAGGAGCCAAGUAGAAAGUGGUUAGUUAGAAAUGAUAAAUAUAAAAGUACCAGUGGUUCUGCAGAGAGCACUUUCUCUAGAGCAGUGAAACAGAAAUCAGAUAACAAGUGGGAAAAGUUUGCUAGUGGUGAGGACAUAGAGGCUUAGUGAGUUGACUGGUAAUUUGAGAUAGAAAAGCAUAAGAAAGAAUGAAAGACAAAGGAAAAGCAGGGUCAAGGCAGAGGUCUUUUGUUUGCAUGUAUGAGUUUUUGUUUUGCUUUACCUUCCAGUAGGCAUAACCUGAAUAUCUUGGCAGACAUACAGGAAGGAAAAAGUGGAGACAGCAAAUAUUGCAGGGAGAGUGUCUGAUGAAACCAUCUCAGAAGCAACAAGAGAAGGAAUGCUCCACAGCCAAACCACUUCAAUGUCUUCCUACUGGAGAGAGGAAGAGAAACCAGGAGAAUGGCAGCUAAUAAGUGUUGAAUGAUUGACUGAACUCCUGGUUCCUAUAAGAUUCUGUCUCUUGCUGAGUAUUAGCCAGGAUGCCUCUUAUCCGAACAACAACAAUAACAACAACAACAGCAACAACAAAAACCUUAAGAGAUCUAUUCACCAAGUAAUGCUUGCUUCUUUCAGUCUAACCAGGCUUCUUGGUAAGUCACAGAUGUUCCUCCCACCAGUAACUCAUUGACCAGAACUGUGCCAUGAACCUCUUGCUUCAAGAGAAUGAGGAGAAAUGAAUAUUUUCAGCUGGACACAUUGUCUUCCUGAAUGCAGAAAGGUAUUCUGUCCGUAAAGAAGAAGGCAGAAAUUAGGCUUUCCUACAGCAAGGGGAGAAAAAAGGUGAAAUUGCAGGCUAUACAUAAAGAACUGAACCUAAUAACAGCCUAUCUUAUUUUUGUCACAUCUACAACUGUGACUGUCACUCAGCCUGAGCCAGUCUCGCUGUUCUCCAGACAAUGGGAUUUGAGAGAGUGUCUCUGCUGUGUCUAUGCUGCGACAACCUUUUCUGGCAGUGGAGUAAGCGGAUGUGAGGCGGGCAGCAGUGCAGGGAGGAAAAGCCCUGAAGAUGAAUUACGUCCACUUCAGCAGGCUGACCCUCUCGGGCAGGAGGGCUUUGGCCUGGGAAAGUGGCCUUGAUCAGAACUCUUAAGAGUGCCCCGCAGAUCACUUGAGGUCAGGAGUUCGAGACCAGCCUGACCAACAUGGUGAAACUCCAUCUCUACUAAAACACAAAAAUUAUCUGGGUGUGGUGGUGGGCUCCUGUAAUCCCAGCUACUCAGGAGGCUAAGGCAGGAGAAUCGCUUGAACCCAUGAGGCGGAGGUCACAGUGAGCCGAGAUCAUGCCACUGCACUCCAGCGUAGGUGAAAGAGUGAGACUCUGUCUCAAAAAAAAAAAAAAAAGAUGCCCCACAUUCUACUCACCAAGCCCAGGAUGUAUGGGAUGCAAUGGGACAGGGAUAUGUGUGCAGUGUUUCAUCCCCUCUGGCUGCGGCAGGGCCCGGAACUAGGCAAUGCGGAGGGAAACCUGGCUGCCAUGGACAGGGCCUUCUUCCUGGAAUGACAUAUCUGGAAGUGAGCUUGAGAUGUGCCCUGGAACCCUGCUGGCUUCAAGGCCUGUUGUGAUGGACAGCGGAAGGGCCCUGAUAUGGGUGGAAUCAUAUCCCCCCAAAGAGGAUAUGUUGAAGUCCUAACCCCCAAUACCUCAGAAGGUGAACUUCUUUGGAAAUAGAGUCAUUGCAGAUGUAAUUAGUUAAGCUAAACUGAGGUCAUACUAGAGGGAGGUGGGCCCCAAUCCAAUGACUGGUGUCCUCAGAAGAAGAGGAAACAGAUACAAAGCAGAUGACCAUGUGAUGAUAGAAGCACAGAUCGAAGUGAUGUUGCCACAAGCCAAGAAAUGCCUACAGCUCCAGAGGCUGGAGGAAACAAGAAAGAAUCCUCUUCUACAGACUUCCAAGAAAGCACCGUCCUUUCGGCACCUUCGUUUUGGACUUGUAGCCUCCACAACUGUGAGAGAGUAAAAUUUCUAC
rnacentral:lncRNA from 1 species